UUCCUUGUCUAUCUAUACUAGACUUGAGAGACAAUAAGAUUGACAUAAUCCCAGAUGAAAUCACAGUUUUAUCAGAAUUAGAAAGAAUUGAUUUAUCAAACAAUGAAAUCUCAAGGUAAAGUUCCUGUUUAUUGUGUCUUAUUUCCAUUUUGCCUUUAAGCCUGUGUUCCAAAUAGUCCAGUCAAAAUAGUGGAAAAAAAGGCUCAACCCGUAACAAAUUGCAACAGAAGGUUUCUCAACGGUUUUAGACUCAGAAACAAGUGACUAAUAACAUAUUAAAAGUCUAUAAAAAUCUAAUUAGGGGAACAUCGUUAUAAAUACGAAUCUUUUGGGUUGAUUGGAAGUGCGCAUGGAAACGAGGUUAAACAAAGAUUGUAUUCAAUUCACUCGAAUAUUGCUUUAUUUUGACUUUGAAGCUAAAAAUAAGUUAAAUUAGAGUAUUUUAGUGUCUUCUUGUAAGUUCAAGACUGAUAUUUAUUCAUUUUUUUAGCAUAUUGCGAUUUAUCAUACGUUGAUAAAGUAGGGCCUGGUCCAGGUAUUAAUUUCAUAGAUAUUCAUUUGUCUACUUAUAACUUCCCAUAAUUUAAAAUUUUCAAUAAUUUAUAGUUAAGCUUAAA